rnacentral:rRNA from 1 species
UACGGAGGAUCCGAGCGUUAUCCGGAUUUAUUGGGUUUAAAGGGUGCGCAGGCGGGGGAUUAAGUCGGCGGUGAAAUUUUGCAGCUCAACUGUAAAAGUGCCUUCGAAACUGGUUUCCUUGAGUGUAGAUGAAGUAGGCGGAAUUUGUGGUGUAGCGGUGAAAUGCUUAGAUAUCACGAGGAACUCCGAUUGCGCAGGCAGCUUACUAAACUACUACUGACGCUCAGGCACGAAGGCGUGGGGAUCAAACAGGAUUAGAUACCCCCGUAGUCCCUGA